UAACACAUGCAAGUCGAGCGGAGUUGAUCGACGGAAGCCUUCGGGCGGAAGAUGAUUAACUUAGCGGCGGAUGGGUGAGUAACGCGUGGGCAACCUGCCUCGAAGACCGGGAUAACAGUUCGAAAGGGCUGCUAAUACCGGAUGUGGUCAAGUGUCAGCAUGGGCAUUUGAUUAAAGGGGAAACCCGUUUCGAGAUGGGCCCGCGUCCUAUCAGCUAGUUGGUGAGGUAAAGGCUCACCAAGGCAAUGACGGGUAGCCGGCCUGAGAGGGUGACCGGCCACACUGGAACUGAGACACGGUCCAGACUCCUACGGGGGGCAGCAGUGGGGAAUCUUCCACAAUGGGCGAAAGCCUGAUGGAGCGACGCCGCGUGAGCGAAGAAGGCCUUCGGGUUGUAAAGCUCUGUCUGGAGGGACGAAGAAAGUGACGGUACCUCCGGAGGAAGCCACGGCUAACUACGUGCCAGCAGCCGCGGUAAUACGUAGGUGGCGAGCGUUGUCCGGAAUCACUGGGCGUAAAGGGCGCGCAGGCGGCGUGUCAAGUCGGACGUGAAAACCCCUGGCUCAACUGGGGGAUGUCGUUCGAAACUGGCA
rnacentral:rRNA from 1 species